CGCUACACUACUUCUCUGUGUACACAGAACUUGUGGUUUAUGACCAUAUGAAAUGCCAUUUCCUGGUUGGUGCACAGCAUAAGAACCCAGGCAGUACAUCUGCAAACUGACACCACUCAGAGACCCUGAACUCUGAGCUGAGUCAGAAUAGACACAUUUGUGCAGGACAUGUGCCUCAUGCCUCCUCCAAGACCUCUGUGUGUGCUCGUGGCCUUGGCCUUUUCUGGAUCCACUGUGGCCCAGAAAGUGGCUCAAGUCCAACCAGCCACAAGCGGACAGGAGGGGAAAGAGGUCACCCUGCACUGUUCAUAUGAAACAAGUUGGAACAAUUACUAUCUUUUUUGAGAUCAGCCAAGUCCAUCA